GAUGAACGCUGGCGGCGUGCCUAAUACAUGCAAGUCGAGCGAAUGGAUUAGGAGCUUGCUCUUAUGAAGUUAGCGGCGGACGGGUGAGUAACACGUGGGUAACCUGCCCAUAAGACUGGGAUAACUCCGGGAAACCGGGGCUAAUACCGGAUAACAUUUUGAACCGCAUGGUUCGAAAUUGAAAGGCGGCUUCGGCUGUCACUUAUGGAUGGACCCGCGUCGCAUUAGCUAGUUGGUGAGGUAACGGCUCACCAAGGCAACGAUGCGUAGCCGACCUGAGAGGGUGAUCGGCCACACUGGGACUGCGACACGGCCCAGACUCCUACGGGAGGCAGCAGUAGGGAAUCUUCCGCAAUGGACGAAAGUCUGACGGAGCAACGCCGCGUGAGUGAUGAAGGCUUUCGGGUCGUAAAACUCUGUUGUUAGGGAAGAACAAGUGCUAGUUGAAUAAGCUGACACCUUGACGGUACCUAACCAGAAAGCCACGGCUAACUACGUGCCAUCCGCCGCAGUAA
rnacentral:rRNA from 1 species